ACUCCGGAGGAAGCCUCGCUCAGCCCCUUGUCUCCCGCCGGCUUGGCCGGCCCUGGGGACACCUGACCCACUUCCCCGAGGCCGCGUUGUGGCGGAGCGUCUUUGGUGGACGGCCCAGCCCGGGUCGUGCGGAGGGCAGCUCCCUCACCGUCGGAGCUGGCGACGUGUGUCCCGAGCCGGGGGCCGCGUCUCGUUCGGCCCGGCGUGGGGAAGCAAGGCCCGGGGCCUCUGGGUGAGGAGCCCAGGGCCUGGCUGGCAUCCGGUCCGGGGCCUGAGGUGCGGGGCCAGACGCAGCCACUGGGUCUGGAGGCUCCUCCAUGUGGACCCGCCGGCCAGCUCCUGGAGUGAGCGCACUGCCCCCGCGUCCGAGUCACGGGGGUGGCUCGGCCCAUGGGGGAAGGCUGCUGCUGGAGGGGGAGACCGACGUCACAGACACGCCGAGAUUGGCCGGGGGAAGAAUGAGAGCCUCCUGAGAUGGUCCUGAUUUUUAGAGGACAGGAUGUGGUGGUACCUGGCCGAGCAACAAGAGACGGAUAUAACGGAUAAAAAGAUCACUGAGGUUUCUGCUAGACUGAAGAGGGAAGAAGACAAUUCUCAAGAACCCGGGUCUGUGUGAUAGAAAAAGAGUCUGGACUCUCCUAGAUGCUGUCCUCAGAUUCUGGCACCGUGAUGCAGUCUACAGCCUCGAAGCGGCUUUGCACUUGACCUGGGGGAAGGCUGGGCUGCCUUGCCACCUUCUCUUUUCCUGCUCUUCAAUCACCUGGCUGCAGGUAAGGGCACCCAGGGCCUGAGUCCAUGAGUCAAAGGAGCCUGGAUAUAGAGACAGAGCCUUCAAGAAUGCCCGUGGGGACUCAGGGAGAUGGAGGAGGCAAAGGCGCACUGUGGAAAGGACAGAGGGAGGAUUUCUGGAGGUGAAGAAAAUAAACCAGGAAUGAAUCAGUUGUGGGAGGAGAAGGCGACUGCCCAGAGACCACAUGCAGCCAGGAGACAGCCUGUUUACCUCACCUGGUAUAAAGAAUAUCCUACUCAGUUGUCCACAUUUUUAAAUUAUAUCAUCUACAUACACAAAGGAGAUGGCCAGCUGAUCUUGAAAAAUCAGAUGUUCCCUGCCCCCACCCCGCUGGGCGUACCCUGAGCAGGGCGCCCCCUGUGGUUGGGCGGGUGCUGCUCCUCCCAGCCCUGGUCCCCUGGUCCCCAAACACACCUGCCUGCCGGGCCUAUGCCCCGUGACCCCACCCAGGGCUAGGGGACUGGGCACGGGACAGAAUGGGCAUGCAGGAAAUUGUUCCCCUGAGUACUGGCUGUCCAGGAAUCCCAGGGCGAGGAAGAAGGCGGUUCUAGCUGGAAAGAAAGUUUAAUCUGACGUUCUUGACUUUUAACAUUUGGAGACAUUCAGAAUCAGUGCACUUUCUGCAGCCCUGGCGCAAGUCCAAGCUUUUAAAUGGUCUUGACCUUGACUUUGAUGCCUGCGGACACUGCAGGGCCUCCCGAUUCCACCAGCCCUGCCCCUCCUUCCCGUCUGGUCCAGCCCUGCUCCUGAAGCUCCAGCAGACAAAUGCCUGCCUCUGCCAGCUCCUUGCCUCCUCCCGGCCGAUGUCCUGCCCUGCAUGGGCCCCUGGGGAGGCCCUUCAUUGUUAGUUCCCAAGCUCAUGCCGGGUUCCUUCUGAGUGCCAGGGGCCGCCAACGAGGAGGGCGUGAGUCAGACAGCACUCAGAGGAUGGCAGGAUGGGGGUCUCAGAGGUCAGGAGGGGCCUGGCUGGGACUUGACCCUGGGGCUGAGAAGAUAGGAUCCUUGCAUGACGAUGACAAGGGGCCUCUAGGGUGUUUAAUCAAGGAGGCACUCAAGUCAGAGCAGAGUUUUCAGAAAGACGUUCCGGGAAUGGACGUACGGGGUGGACCAGAAGUAUGGGUGGGCUGUCCCCACCCGCCUCUCCUCUUGACAGGGACAGAGUAAAGGGUCAAAGUAGGUGAUUAAAUAGUGAAUCCCACUCGGGGACUGUACAUAGAAAAAUAUGGGAGACCCCUGUAAAUUAGUGAUUACUCAAGAAAGCACAAAACCAAGCUUAACCACAAAACCAAGCAGGCUUGCUCAGCAACAAAACCAUGCAACAGAAGUACGAGACGAGCCCCCCAAACAAUAAAACCACCGUGGCAAGAGACCCACAAGCUGCCCAGUGAGCUCUGAAGGUUACUGAUCCCUAGGACACGCUCUCUGCACACGUGAAAAACAGUGAUUUGUGGACCUUGCUUGGCCAUGCAGAGACAAGAAAAUCCCCCUGCUCAGCCUGGAGGAGGAAGUGAUGGUGGAAGCAUGACAUCUCCUUGAGAAAGACAAAGAAGCUCUUCGGCCUCUCCCCACUUUUCUUUGGAUUAUAAAACCAUAGCCCACUAAGUUCUCGGGCGUGGCAUUUCUUGCCUCCUCCGCUGUAAGCCUCACAAGCGUCCUGUUCUAAUAAAUCACUUCUCACCUACCACCUCGCCUGUCCCUGAAUCGUCCUCUGCCCCGAGACAUACAGGAUUGUGGUUCCGGAGCUCUUCAGAGCCCCCGAAAUGGGGCCCAUCUCUUUUCUCUGCUCCUCCAGGUACCGUCACCCUGCCCCUGCAGAAAAGUCUCCGAGGUUGUUUUGCACUUCUCACGUAUCUGAGCUGCCUGCGCACCUGGACUCGAAUCCCAGUGAGGGCUGGUCCACGCUCCCCACCCCUCAGGUCCCCUGCGUGGAGACACAGUGACCUGGGCUCCACGGACCCUUCGAAGCGUGUGCCGCACAGUGGGGCGCAGACAGGGAGAACAGACACAGCAGGAGGAUGAGAGGCCAGCAUGGGAACACACACAUCACCACACGGAAAACAGACAGCCAGUGGGCUCUGCCGUAGGAGCUCAGACCGGGGCUCUGUAACAACCGGGGGGGUGGGGGGAUGGGGUGGGAGGCGGCAGGCAGGUUCAGGAGGGAGGAAGCAUAUGUAUCUCUGUGUGUGAUUCAUGUCGAUGUAUGGCAGAAACCAACG